AGUCGAGCGAUGAACACCUUCGGGUGUGAAUUAGCGGCGAACGGGUGAGGAACACGUGAAGAAUCUGCCUUCAACUCUGGGAUAACUCCGGGAAACCGGGGCUAAUACCGGAUAUGAGCCUUGAUCGCAUGAUCGGGGCUGGAAAGUUUUUCGGUUGAAGAUGACUUCGCGGCCUAUCAGCUUGUUGGUGAGGUAAUGGCUCACCAAGGCGACGACGGGUAGCCGGCCUGAGAGGGCGACCGGCCACACUGGGACUGAGACACGGCCCAGACUCCUACGGGAGGCAGCAGUGGGGAAUAUUGGGCAAUGGAGGAAACUCUGACCCAGCGACGCCGCGUGAGGGAUGAAGGCCUUCGGGUUGUAAACCUCUUUCAGUAGGGAAGAAGCGAAAGUGACGGUACCUACAGAAGAAGCACCGGCUAACUAUGUGCCAGCAGCCGCGGUAAUACAUAGGGUGCAAGCGUUGUCCGGAAUUAUUGGGCGUAAAGAGCUCGUAGGUGGUUCGAUACGUCGGAUGUGAAAAUCAGGGGCUCAACCCCUGACCUGCAUCCGAUACGGUCGAGCUAGAGUUUGGUAGGGGAGACUGGAAUUCCUGGUGUAGCGGUGGAAUGCGCAGAUAUCAGGAGGAACACCGAUGGCGAAGGCAGGUCUCUGGGCCAAUACUGACACUGAGGAGCGAAAGCGUGGGGAGCGAACAGGAUUAGAUACCCUGGUAGUCCACGCCGUAAACGGUGGGCGCUAGUUGUGCGAACCUUCCACGGUUUGUGCGACGCAGCUAACGCAUUAAGCGCCCCGCCUGGGGAGUACGAUCGCAAGAUUAAAACUCAAAGGAAUUGACGGGGCCCCGCACAAGCAGCGGAGCAUGCGGCUUAAUUCGACG
rnacentral:rRNA from 1 species